rnacentral:snoRNA from 1 species
CCUCUCUCAGCGUCACACCUGGAGAGUUUCCAGUCCUCUACCAGUCUUGACUACGGGAGGAAAGAGUCAGGCAGAGGCCUAUCCAUUCCAUUCCUAGCUUGGGCAGUGGCUAGCGAGUGGAAAGCAAUCUGAUACAAGU